UACGUAGGCAGCGAGCGUUGUUCGGAGUUACUGGGCGUAAAGAGUGCGUAGGCGGUGCUCUAAAGUUUGGUGUGAAAUCUCCCCGGCUCAACUGGGAGGGUGCGCCGAAAACUGGAGUGCUCGAGUAUGGGAGAGGUAAGCGGAAUUCCUGGUGUAGCGGUGAAAUGCGUAGAUAUCAGGAGGAACACCUGCGGUGUAGACGGCUUACUGGACCAUGACUGACGCUGAGGCACGAAAGCGUGGGGAGCAAACAGG
rnacentral:rRNA from 1 species